rnacentral:rRNA from 1 species
GACGAACGCUGGCGGCGUGCCUAACACAUGCAAGUCGAACGGUGAAGCGCCUUCCUUUUUGGUGGGUGUGGAUGAGUGGCGAACGGGUGAGUAACACGUGAGUAACCUGCCCCCUUCUUCUGGAUAACCGCAUGAAAGUGUGGCUAAUACGGGAUAUUCUGGGUCUGUCGCAUGAUGGGUCUGGGAAAGAUAUUGUUUCGGUGGGGGAUGGGCUCGCGGCCUAUCAGCUUGUUGGUGGGGUGAUGGCCUACCAAGGCGGUGACGGGUAGCCGGCCUGAGAGGGUGGACGGUCACACUGGGACUGAGACACGGCCCAGACUCCUACGGGAGGCAGCAGUGGGGAAUAUUGCACAAUGGGCGCAAGCCUGAUGCAGCGACGCCGCGUGAGGGAUGGAGGCCUUCGGGUUGUGAACCUCUUUCGCCAGUGAAGCAGGCCUGCCUCGUUUGUGGGUGGGUUGACGGUAGCUGGAUAAGAAGCGCCGGCUAACUACGUG